AGAAGCAUACCAUCUAACAGGCACUAGUGUGCUACUGCCUUUUACGUCAAUUAAAUAAAUAGAAAUUGCACUUGUGCAUGCUUGUGUGAAAUAAAACAAAUAUAGCAUAAGCUUGAAUCUAGAAACAGUAGGAGGUUAUGAUUUCCUGCAUCCAUGUAACAGUACCUGUAAGAGCUGCCUCUUUCAUAAGUGGCUCUUAGCAAACACUGAGUUUGAUUCUACCUAAAAGAAAAUCACUUAACCAAGAUUCAAAGGUUGGAUAGUAAAAUAAGGAAAUAAAUAUACUAAAAAAACAGGCAAAUGAAAACUCUUAUAACAGAUGAGACACAAGACAUAAACUGUGGAUCCCUGAUUGUUGUCUUACACAUACGUAAGACUGCAGUAAAAUAUGAGAACUUGUAAUGGUUAACGUAAAGGACAUGUGAUAAACACAAAGUACUUUAUCCUCAAAAUGAUCUUAUUUAGUAAUACUGCAUUAUAGAAAAUUAAGACUUUAUACACCAUAUGGGAAAGAUAAUAAAUAUUGGGUAUUGGUUGUUGG